CCUACGGGAGGCUGCAGUGAGGAAUAUUGGUCAAUGGGCGGGAGCCUGACCCAGCCAAGCCGCGUGAGGGAAGAAGGUACAGCGUAUCGUAAACCUCUUUUGUCAGGGAACAAAGGCGGGGACUAGUCCCCGGAUGAGGGUACCUGAAGAAAAAGCAUCGGCGAACUCCGUGCCAGCCGCCGCGGUAAUACGGAGGAUGCGAGCGUUAUCCGGAUUUAUUGGGUUUAAAGGGUGCGCAGGCGGCCUGUUAAGUCAGCGGUAAAAGCCCGGGGCUCAACCCCGGCGAGCCGUUGAAACUGGCGGGCUGGAGUUGGAGAGAGGUACGCGGAAUGCGCGGUGUAGCGGUGAAAUGCUUAGAUAUCGCGCAGAACCCCGAUGGCGAAGGCAGCGUACCGGCUCCACACUGACGCUGAGGCACGAAAGCGUGGGUAUCGAACAGGAUUAGAUACCCUUGUAGUC
rnacentral:rRNA from 1 species